UAUAUUUAAGUGUAAGAUGCACAAGGAUUUUUGAUAUCCUUAGAUAUGGUUUAAUUCCAUAAAAUAUAA
rnacentral:tRNA from 1 species